GUGGGUAGAGCUCAGUGGUAGAGUGCAUGCUUAGCAUGCAUGAGGUCCUGGGUUCAAUCCCCAGUAUCUCCA
rnacentral:tRNA from 1 species